UACGUAGGUGGCAAGCGUUGUCCGGAAUUAUUGGGCGUAAAGCGCUCGCAGGCGGUCCCUUAAGUCUGAUGUGAAAGCCCACGGCUCAACCGUGGAGGGUCAUUGGAAACUGGGGGACUUGAGUACAGAAGAGAAGAGUGGAAUUCCACGUGUAGCGGUGAAAUGCGUAGAGAUGUGGAGGAACACCAGUGGCGAAGGCGACUCUUUGGUCCGUAACUGACGCUGAGGCGCGAAAGCGUGGGGAGCAAACAGG
rnacentral:rRNA from 1 species